AUCUGAGCCCACUAGGGCCAACACUGGCUCCUGAGGUGCGGUCACAUCGAAGGGAGCUGCUGUAAUAAACAAGACUGGAUCUCAUAAAUCCCAAGGUGGCCUCCAGCUCACUAUGUAGCCUUGAGCUCCUUGCCCUCAAUUCUCAAGUGCGAUCAUUACAGGGGUGCACCACCACCACACUUAGCGUUCCAAUUCCUUUGAUUUAAAGGAAAAACAACUAGGCGCUCCCUACGUAACCCUGGAUGCUCUGGCUAUCUCUAUGUAGACCAGGCAGGUUUUGACCUCAGAAAAAUCUGCCUGGGCCCACCUGGUGCUGCAAUUGCAGGUGUGUAUUACCUCCCGCAGUGGGUUUCCUUUGAACUCACUGGAUUGUGGUGAAGGUCCCCCCACCAGGAGCCAAACCGGGUCAGAGGUAUUUAUUUAUAGGGACCUUCCAACUUUGCGAGAAAGAGAAGGCUAGAACAGAAACUUACCCGAAUCCAGCGUGGGCAGCUGUAGGACAGUGAGGGUGAGCAGACAGACCAGGAGGCAGGAGUUGGUGGGAACUGCCAUCUCUGAGCUAACUGGGGCAAUGAAGCCCGCCAAGAGCUUCAGGCUGGGAGAGAAACAGUCAGGAGGUAACUAUGGGUUCCGCAAGCGCCCUGUUCUCCACCAGUUUCUUCCAACCUGGAGGGCUCUGUAUUUCCCCUACAGGGUCAUUUUCAGUCCAUUUUACAACAGCGCCUGCCCCAUACCCUUCCUCUGUACGUCUGGUCCUCCAGCCCUCGACUGCCUCCAGAAUGGAGCCGCGAGGCACAGUUGUAGAUAAUGAAGAAAUCUCCUCAUUUACAAUAACAAUAAAACAAUAAAGUAAAAUCGAA